rnacentral:rRNA from 1 species
UACGUAGGUGGCGAGCGUUGUCCGGAUUUACUGGGCGUAAAGGGAGCGUAGGCGGACUUUUAAGUGAGAUGUGAAAUACCCGGGCUCAACCUGGGUGCUGCAUUUCAAACUGGAAGUCUAGAGUGCAGGAGAGGAGAAUGGAAUUCCUAGUGUAGCGGUGAAAUGCGUAGAGAUUAGGAAGAACACCAGUGGCGAAGGCGAUUCUCUGGACUGUAACUGACGCUGAGGCUCGAAAGCGUGGGGAGCAAACAGGAUUAGAUACCCGU